rnacentral:rRNA from 1 species
UACGUAGGUGGCAAGCGUUGUCCGGAUUUACUGGGCGUAAAGAGCGCGCAGGCGGUCGUUCAAGUCGGGUGUGAAAGCCCCCGGCUCAACUGGGGAGGGUCACGCGAUACUGAUCGACUCGAAGGCAGGAGAGGGUAGUGGAAUUCCCGGUGUAGUGGUGAAAUGCGUAGAUAUCGGGAGGAACACCAGUGGCGAAGGCGACUUCCUGGGCUGUUUCUUGACGCUGAGGCGCGAAAGCUAGGGGAGCAAACGGG